GUGGCCUAAGUGGUUAUAGCGACUGCCUCAAAUGUGGAAGGUCGCGGGUUCGAACCCCGGUCGAAUCUUACCA